UACGUAGGGGGGCGAGCGUUGUCCGGAAUCAUUGGGCGUAAAGCGCGUGUAGGCGGCCCCGGUAAGUCCGCUGUGAAAAGUCCAGGGCUCAACCCUGGGAUGCCGGUGGAUACUGUCGGGCUCGAGUCCGGAAGAGGCGAGUGGAAUUCCUGGUGUAGCGGUGAAAUGCGCAGAUAUCAGGAGGAACACCAAUGGCGAAGGCAGCUCGCUGGGACGUGACUGACGCUGAGACGCGAAAGCGUGGGGAGCAAACAGG
rnacentral:rRNA from 1 species